rnacentral:rRNA from 1 species
AUGUUGGAGGAAUGGCAACAAGUUCAUGCAAAACCCAUUACUGAGCGUACGCCUCUGAUGAGAGCUAGGUGGGAACCGCCGGAGGAGGGCUGGUUUAAAGCAAACGCAGAUGGAGCCUUCUCCAAAGGGCGCGGAAAGGGAGGAGCAGGUGUGGUCCUCAGAGAUCAUAACGGGGGUUUUGUGGCUGUUGCAGGACUUUUUGUCGAUCAUGCGUCGAGCGCUGAGCAGGCGGAGGUGGUGGCAUGUCGACGAGGCAUCCAACUAGCUCGCGAAGCAAAUGUGCAAAAUCUUCAUGUCGAGCUGGACAAUCUGGUGUGGUUGCGGCGAUCAACAAACAUGACCAAGAUCUAUCAACUUUGGGGCCUUGUAUUGAGGAAAUCAAGUGGUUGCUAA